rnacentral:lncRNA from 1 species
UAUGAUGUCAUUAUACGUGAAGUCUUGCUUGAGAAUGCUCCGGGCACCUGGCUGUAGAAGGAAGAAUGGAAAUUACAAUAACAAAAUCCUAAUUCUAAUAGAAUACUAACAAUGGUCUAAUUAGAUCAUAAUAAUACUAAGCAAGCUUAAUCAAAUUCAAAAAACGACAAAGAAAUUUCAAACAAACAAUAAAAAUUCUUAAAGAAAUAUUAGAAGGAUCACAAAUAUCAAUCAAAUACAUCUCAACUCAAUCUUAAUUUAAUUCUAGUUAAAAUCCUAUUAAACUUCAUUCAAACUUUAGGCCAAAACUAAUUGAAUCUUAAUUCUUAAUAAUAUCCUAAAUCCUAAAUCAAACCCUAAAUAAACCUUAAACCAAAUCCCAACGAAAUCCUGAACCAAAUCCUAACCAAAUCCUAACCAAAUCCUAAACCAAAUCCUAAACCAAACCCUAACCCUAAAUCAAAUCCUAACCAAACCCUAAUCCAAAUUCUAAACUCUAAAUCAAAUCCUAACCAAAUCCUAAAUCAAACCCUAACCAAAUCCUAAAUCAUAAAUAAAACCUAAAUUCCAAAUCCUAAACCAAAUCCUAAAUCCUAAAUCAAACCCUAAUCCAA